rnacentral:rRNA from 1 species
GUCCACAGUUGCCAGCAUACCCUCCGGGGUGGAUGGGUACACUGUGGAGACCGCCGCUGCUAAAGACGGAGGAAGGAGUGGGCAACGGUAGGUCAGUAUGCCCCGAAUCUCCCGGGCUACACGCGGGCUACAAUGGUUGGUACAAUGGGCAUCUACCCCGAAAGGGGAAGGAAAUCUCUUAAAGCCAAUCGUAGUUCGGAUUGAGGGCUGCAACUCGCCCUCAUGAAGCUGGAAUCCGUAGUAAUCGCGUUUCAACAGAACGCGGUGAAUACGUCCCUGCUCCUU